rnacentral:snRNA from 1 species
AGAUCACUUGAGCCCAGAAGUUCAAGGCUGCAGUGAGCCGUGAUCAUGCCACUGUACUCCAGCCUGGGCAACAGAC